ACUCACCAAGUUGGCAAACUCAUACAUAUUACUUAGUCAAAGACAUAAUACAAAUCACCCAACUAUUAUCAAACAUGUGCCCUCACUAUAAAAGAAACCUAUAAUAACUCACAUAGAUGUAAUUUAUUACAAGAUAGGGGUAUAAGAAUCAAAUUACGCUCACUCUCACAAAGAAUUCACAAGUUACACAAGAUGAACCAUAGGCUUUCCCUUAGUGUAGUACUC
rnacentral:lncRNA from 1 species